rnacentral:lncRNA from 1 species
CGACAGCGCCAGGGGGUCCGGGAACACCUCGCUCUCCAGCCUUGCCGGGCUCUCCCUGUGGAGAAAGGGAGUUAGGGUUGAGGGGGCUGAAGUGAGAAGCCAGGGCCUCCUGGGGCCUCUCAUUUACUCUGAGUGGGACUUUUUAAGGGACUUUCUUUUCAAAAGACUGUUUGGCCCCCGGGGAAUGCCCCUGCAGGUGCUUCUUGCUGGGCCCUUUCUGAGCCCACUCCUCCCAAGAUGCCCUUCCAGGCUCCUCUGCCUUUUCCCUGUUAGAUGCCCGCUGUGGCCUGCACUGCAAAGGGCUUUCAUCUUCUCUGCUAUCUCCUUUUGGACCUCAAAGAAUCCACCAAGACUGGGGGUGCCUAUCAUAUCAAAGGCCUGUCCUAUCCCCACGUGUCGGGGUGGAGGGCCACCAACAACACUUAUUUCCAGGACAGAGCAGUGGUCAUGGAGCCUGGAGAAGUGUUUCAUUUUUUCUUUCUUUCUUUCUUCUUUUUUUUUUUUUUUGAGAUGGAAUCUCGCACUGUUGCCCAGGCUGGAGUGCAAUGGCGUGAUCUCAGCUCACUGCAACCUCCACCUCCCGGGUUCAUGCAAUUCUCCUGCCUCAGCCUCCUGACUAGCUGGGGUUACAGGUGCACACCACCACACCCAGCUAAUCUUUUGUAUUUUUAGUAGAGACGUGGUUUCACUAUGUUGGCCCGACUGGUCUCAAACUCCUGACCUCAUGGUCUGCCCGCCUUGGCCUCCCAAAGUGCUGGGAUUACAGGCAUGAGCCACCGUGCCCCGCCGAGAAGUCUUUCAUUUUACAGAUAGGGAGGCUGAGGUCCAGAAAGUGAGAGUGAGUGGCCACACGGCAGGUCAGCGGCACAGCUGAGCCCAGAGCCCAGGACUCCUUCAAGUCUCAGGACCAGCAGGACCAGCAUCUCCCUUGGCACCAUCCAAACCACUGAAACCCUAAAGCAGGAAAGAGGUAGAAGGGAGGCCAGCUGUUCCGGGCAAUCCUCGAGCACCCUGGAGAGAGAUGAAGAAGACAAGGAAGGGCCAUUAGAACACAUCACUGUGGACCCAGCUCCUAAAUGAAGCCCAAGUGCAGUGAAGCCCAGGUUCAGCCACAGCCCCCUGCUCACCUGAGGCCCAGGAGGCCCACGCUCACCAGGACGACCAGGUUUUCCAGCUUCCCCCUGAGAGGGAGAGAAAAGACCAUCAUGCCUCUGCCUCCCCACCACCGCCUAGGGGCUGGAAAAGUGGAGAAGGUCUCAGUCUUCUUUGGAUUGUUGCAGGUCAGGUUUGGGGGCCCAGAAUCUUAUCUUUGAAUCUAGAGCUCAGUUUAAAUCUACAGUGAAACCUUCGUUUGGUGAAAUCUGAGUGCCUCUAAAGGAAUUUCUGUCUACUUCUGUCACCAGCAUUUUAAUUUCACCAUCUGCGCACCAAUUUCCCCAAAGGGAUGGGGUUGGGGAUUGCUCUAAGGUGGCUGGGGUGAGGAGAACAGUCACUUUGUUGGGGACAUGGAAUCAUCUCACUAAGCGAAAAGAUCAUUGUUCCAGGGCAGUCCGUGCAUCAGAGAGGACUUGCCCUCCUUCCUCUGAGUAUCGUUCCCAAAUGUGGUGGAGUGGAAAUUGCAGGACCCAACCCAUGGAGGCCAUGGGGUCAGAUGGUAUCUUCUUGCUGGGGAUACUUACAUCAUCUCCAUUCUUUCCAGGGGGACCUGGGGGACCUCGGGGACCCAUGGGACCCUAGAAAAGAUAGAAGAGGUGGUUAGAAUAUGGAUAAGAAAAAAAGAAGGGGAAGGCUGGGAUUGAAGGGAAGAGGUAAGGAAGACCCCAGGCCUGGGAGUUCUUCUAUAGGAGAGUCUGUGUGUUUGUAGAAGGAGUAUGAAUCUGUAUAGAGAGUGCUUACUGAAGCUCCAGGCUCGCCAGGCUCACCAGGGGGACCUUGGAAGCCUUGGGGACCCUUGAGAAGAAGGAAAAAGAUGGGUUAGAAGACAAGUCCCUGUCAACCUUCUCCAAUCUUACCAAGAGAUCUCUGAGCAUCUCUCCUGCCCUCAUCCCAGUCUUCCCUCCAAAAGACCAAAGCCCAAGGAGGCAUAUGAAGACGUCCUGGAUACUCACAGGUGCACCAGGGGGGCCAGGGAGACCACGAGGACCAGAGGGACCCUAUAGAGGGAGAAGAAAGGGGGGUCAUGGUGAUCCCUCUGUAGGAAAGCAUGUGGAUGUAGUCAUUCAUGCCUGUUGGGACCACCCAGUCGUCCUGCAUCCUUUCUGGACUCUGAGGUCCCAAAGGUGAUCUGGACCUCCCAAGCUGUCUAUACCAGCCGCCUAUGCCCACCUCCUCUGGAUACCCAUUCUCUCUUCUGUCAUCCAUGCUCCCCCUGCUGGCUCACCAUGGGGCCAGGCACGGAAAUUCCUCCGGUUGAUUUCUCAUCAUAGCCAUAAGACAGCUGGGGAGCAAAGUUCUAGAACAAACAAGAGAAGUCAGAGUGAGGACAGUGAAUUGAAAGGCAGAAGACGGCACUGAGGAUGGAAGAAACUGACAUCAUGCACUUCCUGGUGUGAUGUGCUGAGAAGAAUAACAUUGCUUUUAAGACAUUCCUGCAAAGAUGCAUCCCUGCAUCUAAUCUAAUGAGACAAUCCCAAAUUGAGGGACAGUCUGCAAAACAACUGGACUCAUCAAAACUCCCAGUGCCACUAAAGACAAAGAAAGUCUGAGGAACGUUCUACAUUUGUGGAAACUAGAGACAUGAUGAUUAAACGCAAUACAUAAUCCUGGACUGGAUCCCAGAUUGGGGUGGUGGGGGGUGGAAUCUAUAAAGGACAUUAUCGGGACAUCGGUGAACUUUGAAUACGGACUGCACAUUAGAGAGUGAAUUUAAUCAUUGUGUAGGUCAGUUAAGAGAAUGCUCUUGUUUUUAGGAAAAACACACCUAAGUAUUUAGGCGCAAAAGAGCCUGAUGUUAGCAACUUGCUCAAACAGUUCAGAAAAAAAAAGAUACAUAUACAUAAACAGAGACUAAUAAAGCACAUGUCACAAACUGUGAA